rnacentral:rRNA from 1 species
CCUACGGGUGGCAGCAGUGAGGAAUAUUGGUCAAUGGCCGUAAGGCUGAACCAGCCAAGUAGCGUGAGGGAAGACUGCCCUAUGGGUUGUAAACCUCUUUUGUGCGGGGAUAAAGGUGUCCACGUGUGGAUGUUUGCAGGUACCGCAUGAAUAAGGACCGGCUAAUUCCGUGCCAGCAGCCGCGGUAAUACGGAAGGUCCGGGCGUUAUCCGGAUUUAUUGGGUUUAAAGGGAGCGUAGGCGGGUCUUUAAGCGUGCCGUGAAAUCUUGUGGCUCAACCAUGGGAGUGCGGCGCGAACUGGAGGCCUUGAGUGCGCGGAAGGCAGGCGGAAUGCGUGGUGUAGCGGUGAAAUGCUUAGAUAUCACGCAGAACCCCGAUUGCGAAGGCAGCCUGCCGAAGCGUUACUGACGCUGAGGCUCGAAAGCGCGGGGAUCGAACAGGAUUAGAUACCCGGGUAGUC